AGCGAACGCUGGCGGCAGGCCUAACACAUGCAAGUCGAACGGAUCCUUCGGGAUUAGUGGCGGACGGGUGAGUAACACGUGGGAACGUGCCCUUUGGUUCGGAACAACCCAGGGAAACUUGAGCUAAUACCGGAUGUGCCCUUCGGGGGAAAGAUUUAUCGCCAUUGGAGCGGCCCGCGUCUGAUUAGCUAGUUGGUGAGGUAACGGCCCACCAAGGCGACGAUCAGUAGCUGGUCUGAGAGGAUGAUCAGCCACACUGGGACUGAGACACGGCCCAGACUCCUACGGGAGGCAGCAGUGGGGAAUCUUGCGCAAUGGGCGAAAGCCUGACGCAGCCAUGCCGCGUGAAUGAUGAAGGUCUUAGGAUUGUAAAAUUCUUUCAGCGGGGACGAUAAUGACGGUACCCGCAGAAGAAGCGCCGGCUAACUUCGUG
rnacentral:rRNA from 1 species